AAAUUGAAGAGUUUGAUCAUGGCUCAGAUUGAACGCUGGCGGCAGGCCUAACACAUGCAAGUCGAACGGUAACAGGAAACAGCUUGCUGUUUCGCUGACGAGUGGCGGACGGGUGAGUAAUGUCUGGGAAACUGCCUGAUGGAGGGGGAUAACUACUGGAAACGGUAGCUAAUACCGCAUAAUGUCGCAAGACCAAAGAGGGGGACCUUCGGGCCUCUUGCCAUCGGAUGUGCCCAGAUGGGAUUAGCUAGUAGGUGGGGUAACGGCUCACCUAGGCGACGAUCCCUAGCUGGUCUGAGAGGAUGA
rnacentral:rRNA from 1 species